AGCAGCCUUCCAUCAAACAGAUCCAUCCGACCAAUCGGCAAGGGGCACCGCCGGCUGCCUUCCGUCCAUUGGCGGAGGCCGCCCGGGCUGCCACUCCAGCGCCGGGCUUGUCAGUCAAAGCCACGCGGGGGCCGAGCGCUGACAAACGCCGCCGCUUCUCAGCGUCCCGCUUGCAAAUACUGCUUGGAAUGGCUGCUUAAUUAGCUUGGAAUGGCUUCUCCUUCCAGCUCAAACAAUCUGUCACUACCGUGCGGGGAAAAGGAGCCAUGCACAGAAAAAGUGUAACCUCAGAUCCCAAAAGAAGGCAAACAAACAGACAGCUGAUACCUUCUGACAUCAUAGCCUUGAAAACCAAAUACAGCAUAGACUGAACUACGUAGAACUGCUGAUUUGCAAUGAAAAUAUUGAGGUCAUCUGUGGACUCAAAUGACUUAUGGUCCCUGGAAAAUUCCCCAUUUAGUUCAUGACAGGAGUUGACUGGAGCCUUAGGUUCUCCUUAUCCUCUGUGUGUAUGAGUCAAUCUGUAUUACAAGGGCUAACAGCCUUGAAAGACUAAGAAAGCAUCAUCAUGGAUCAGCAGUCUCAAGGUCAAUUGCAUCUCUGCCCUAACGCACUGAACAAGAUUCUUGCCUAAGAUAUCUGACUGCACAGCUCAUCAGAGCCGGGGAACACAGCCUGCUUGCCUGAGAACAGCGACGGGUGAAUCAGAGUUCUAACCGGGACUCCUCCAAUGACUCACUCCGGCCAUGGGCAACUUCUUGGUCUCAGUUUCCCCAUCUAUACACCCAGGCCAAUAGUUACGCCCCCACCUCCUAGGGGUGUUGUGAGAAUUAAUGUUUGCAAAGUGCUAUGGGAGUGUGAGGCACUAUUAUUAGUGCUAUGAAGGCCCAAGUUAAACAGAGUCUGCAAUUCCUCCUUUAAUAAGUGUCUUAUGCAUAAGUUUCCUAGCUCUGACAGUAUUUCAUUGGUGAUAAUUCCAGAAUCAUCAAACCAGAAAGUUUAAGGCCAGAAGGAGCCACCCGUCUACCUACUCUGACCUCUUCACAUCGCAGGCCACCACCACCACAACACAGUCCAACUAAUAAAGAAUGGUUAGUGCCUGGAGAGGAGCUCCACUCUACCACCUAAGCCUUCUCACCAGGACUGUUUGUAGGUGGGUGUGAAUAUGGAAUGUCAUUGCAUUGGCACAUCAACCAUUCACUGACUAAAGGAAGAAAGUGUCAGGGCCAACUUAGGACAGGAUGUGGGCCAUACAGAGCAGGAAAGGAAGACCUUUUUCCUGCCAAAGGAAACUUUGGACUCGGUCUGCUCACGUUUCUGGGUAAAAGCAUCUCACCUAGGAAACCAGCCAGGAGGCAAUCACAGCCAGCUCUGAGCCAAAGCACCACUCUGACCUGUCUGCUCUGAACACUCAUGCAUGUGGAGAACAUGUGGCCUUUGCAACUUGGCACCAAGUGGGGUGUCCCUUUCACGAUGGAUCUGUCGGAACCUCAGGCCUUGCCUUUUCCUGAACUUUCCCCUGCUAUUGCUAACACCAGCAUUGCUCCAAUGGCAGAGGCAGGAGUGCUAGUUAAGAUGUCAGAGGCCACUGGCAUUUACACUGUGUUAAGAAGACCUGCUCAGAGAAGGUGUAAACACCACUGUCUGCAGGAGCUUUGUCUACACUAGAGCUACUUCUGCUGCAAUCAACAGUAGAGCUGAACCAAGGUUAACAAAAGAUACAUAUACAGCCUCAAACAGCAGCACAUGCCAACACAGUGCCAGCCCUGUAAGGUCUAAGAGAUGGAUUUUUGAUGCAAAGGGAUCUGGGAAGCCAGCUGUGGCCAAUGGUGGUGGGAUGGAAUGGUCGUGUUUCCCGAGUUCUUUGUCAUGCACUGUCUUCUCAGGGGGCAUCUUUAAUGUGGCCAUUGACAUUGUCUCGGACAAGCAGGUCUGAGUCAGCACGAGAAAUGAACAGUGCUACACUUUUCUAUUUGCAAAAUACAUACUAUGAACACGGAGAAUUUCCAUGAUUAUACAUUUGCUCUUUUGAAUUACAAGCUAGAAGGCAAAGCAGGGUGUUGAAACAGAGCCAAGACUAAUACAGAACACCGAGACUAAUACGUGACAUCUACAAAGACCCCAACAUUUCUCGCUAAGACAUUCCAGAAGAACCACUUUCCCCCUCAGUCUUUUUGGAUACAUUUUUAAUCACCUGGUUUCCCCUUUAUCGAUGCCGUGGGGGAAAAAAAUGCACCUGCAUUAUUGGACAUACAAUUAGGGUGAUGAGAGGUCCCGAUUUUAUAGAGACAGUCCCGAUUUUGGGGUCUUUUUCUUAUUUAGGCUCAUAUUACCUCCCACCCCCGUCCCGAUUUUUCACAUUUGCUGUCUGGUCACCCUACAUACAAUUGAACUGCAGUCACUGAUCUUAAAUAUCUAACAUUUAAUUUCCACCCUUAGUCAGGUAGUUAGAUGGGUAACUACUAAGAUUUGCACUUGCAAUUCAUUUUAAGAUGGAAAUAAAUGAAGGCUUUUUUUUUUUUUU